AGCUUUGCGCAGUGGCAGUAUCGUAGCCAAUGAGGUUUAUCCGAGGCGCGAUUAUUGCUAAUUAAAAUUCUCUCAACAUUUUGAUACAAAGUGUCAUUUCAUAAAAGAAACAUGGGUGGACAUGUGGAAUGUGAUUCUUUCC